UUGUGUACUCGGUUGUGUACAAAAUUUCAAAAUCCUAGCUAUAUGUGAAGUUCCUAACGUAACUUUUUAAAAGAGUUAUCAUUCCGUAUACAGGUUGUUCUGUCUAUACCCCUCAUUCGGAGUACUUACACUACUUACUGUGAGUUCUAAUAAAAAUAUUAAUCUGCAAAUUUGUACACAGCUAUAUCCGUUCGAAGUUUCAAACAAAAUGUUUUCAAGGUGGCGACACUUCCGGUGAUACCGGAAGUCGGUACUGACUUUGUUAUUUUAAGUAGAAAGCAACUGUUUUUACUGAAUUUUUUAAGUGGCAAAAUUUUUAUUUACAGGGGUUUAUUCAAAACAUGACAGCUUUUGAACCAUUUGCAAAAGUGAAUAAUUUUUUUUUUUGGUUUUGAUAACCAAAGAUUUGGAGAAUCUUCUAAAGUAUUUCAAUGUUGUCAAUUAUUGAUACAUCCGAAGGCUAGUAUAAUUUUUUUAAAAUGAUGAUCAACAAAUAUUUGGUUAUUUUUCUCCACAGUCAUGAGUUAAUCUAAAAUACGGCAAAAUACAAUUUGAUAUACGUACAAAUUUUUGGAAAAAAGUGGCACUGACAGAGUAUAUGUCGUUUGAGUCGAAAACAGCUGCAUUAGAAGUUGAAAAGUUUGUAAAGUAAGCCCUAAAAAAAUUGAGUUUAUUGAAGAGAAACAGUUUCUAAAAAGUUCUUUAAAGAUACGCCUACGUACUAAAUGAACGAGAACUUUUCGAGAUACAAUCUAAACUAAAAACACUCUCUUGCAGGAAACUUUCCCAUUUUAAUUUUUUUCUAUUACCUACUACUCGUAUCGUAACAUGUGUCAUUUUUGAGAUAUUGGCAAAAAAUUCUUUAAACUUCUAUAUCCUAUCAUAUAUUCUACAACUUGUUCGUCUGCACUAAUAGCGAAAAAUAGAAAUGCGUUUUAAUUUUUUAGUUGAAGAAUGGAAACUUCGUGAAAUAGGUACACCUGCAAAGCGAAAUUGAAUUUCCCGUAGAUUUUAAGCAAUUUUCCUUAAUUUCCUGUUUUUAUCGUCCGAAUUGGUGCUUGAGGAGUAUCCAAUCGAACAGAAAAUUCCAUUUAAAAAUUUGUGAUUUUAAUUAAAAUUAGCGAAGCUUUCCGAGAGUUUGCCGUUUAAUUAUUACUGCUUUAUCGAUUGAGUCUGAAGCUUUGUAUAUUUCAUACGAAAUUUCUAGCGCACGCUAUCUUAUUUAUAAUAUUUAAUGGAUGUAAACAAAGUUUAUGGAUACAUUGUCUGCGAACAUUAAAGCGACAGCGCAUUUAAAUUGCCGCAAAAACUGCAGUCAAAUGAUAAGAUAGCGUCAAAGAUAUUUUUUCUGCCUUUAAAUAACCUUUCUUGCUUGAAACAUGGAACGGUUCUAAUUUUGGACGUAGCAGGUCUUUCAACUUUCGAUUUCAGUCUAGUCUAAACUACCCUUUUGCUUGUCAAGUUAAUCUCCGAGUUAAAUAAUUCAUGUUGAUUUUCACAAUUAUUAAAAUUUUCUGUGUAAAGGUGGGUUUCAGACGAAGCCAUUAAUGUUAUGAGCCCAUUUACUUAUUGCUUAUUAAUGUGACAACAAAGAGCUUGACACCCAUUGUACUGAGGAGAUUGUCGUGGGUGGUCGAAAUUGGAAUGAAAUCUUUUCAGAUUUGUAUUAAAUUGAAAAUUUAAUUAUAGCGACAUAAUACAAAGGCCGUUUUGUAAGAAAUUCCCUUUAAGAAAAUGCUAUUUGAACAGAAUAGGAUUUUAUACGGGUUGAGCUGUUGAGUUGUUUUGUAUUCAGAUCUAAAAUUCGCUACAGAUCUUGCUGAAAUUCAAGUAUUUGUCCUUUCACCUGUUCGAAUAAGAAUAGAUUCGAGGAGUUUUUUGGAUUACAUGUGAAAUAUACAUCUAUCAUGUUUGAUCCACAAAUAUUUAUGAGUUUUUUCACUCGAACAGAAUGAGUUAUAUGUCGGUAGAAGCUUUAUUAAAAUCUGUUCAAACUUUUCUAUUUAUUUUUACAAUUUCUGCUUCAUUAGCGUUUUUACGUGCAUACUCUGAAAUUAAAACUUAUUUUUAUCGUAGCUUUAAUUUUGCAGCAUCCGAGAAUUUUACAAAGAUAAAGUGUUUUAAUGAAUUUUAGAGCAGUUUUGGAGAACGUAUAAAUAAAAUAUUGGAUGAUUAAAAUUUUAUCAUUUCUGGCGACUUCGUUCGGUUAGGGCUAACUGAUACUGGAAAGACAUUUGUGACGGUAACUUCUCGGCCGGAAAAGCUUUUUAAUCUAAUUAUUAUUUAUGGAGAGAAUUGAUUUGUCUCAUCAAAAGCCACAUUAUAUUAAAAUAUAUUAAACAAAAUUUAAACCGUUUCUAGAAAUAAAUACUGUAUACAUUGAAACACAGUUCUUGCAAAAACAAAUUACUUUAAAAGCAGAGAUGUGAAAUGUGAGUAAAGUAAAUUUUUAUUUUUUGUAUUAUUAACUAUAAUCUUAAUUAAAUUAAUUUCAUAUUCAUUUAUUCGGGAAGUCCUAUAAAUCGCUGAGCAAUAAUUAAUUUAUAAACAUUACUGGGCUACAGCCACAGGUGGAGCAGAAAAGCGGAAAAGUGUUGGUACUCGAAGAUAAAGCAAAGUAAGAAUAAAGGUUGGGAAGCAAUAUAUAACAUGCUUAGAAAGAGAUAAAAAGAGAGUGGAACAAGAGUAAAAAUGCAAUGUAUUCAAAAUAAAAAGGGUUCAUGAAACCUUUAAUCAUGCCAGGCGAAAAACAACAAAAGGGGUUUAUUGGCCAGAAAAACUAUUUAAUACAAGAAGUGUGAUUAAAUAAAAAAAAACGAAAAAAAUUGCAGUUACAAGAAAAAAGAUACAAAGUGGAAGACAUGGAGGAAGUAUUGUUCAUGCAAAAAUUAAAUGUUGGGGAAAGAAAAAAAAACAAGUCAAGAAACAGUUGAAAGUCAAUGACGCAACAAGUAGUAAAACAGAAAAGAUGAACACAUUAAAAGGAGACGCUUAAAGAUGUCCACAAGAAAAAAACGAAUAACCUUAUUGAUUAAUACUUUAAUCAAAAAUUUAAGGAAAAGUUUUUUUUAUUAAGAAGAUAGUAUAUUACAUAAGAAGUCAAGAAAGUGGAACUUUACACGACGAGGCGGUUAUUUGAACAUACGGGGCCGAUAGGUCGAGUACUUUACGAGUAAUAACCGAGAUAUUGUAAACGUACUGGAAACUGAAAACUCAGUUAGUGAAGAAAUUUUCACCUGUGAAAACUUUUUUAGAGAAAAAAUAUAUGUAUUAGUCUUCAAUAAAUAUUUUUUUGUAAAUCUGAAGGCAAAUGAAUAAAACCCUACCUACAAAAAAAAGUUACUUAUAAGAAUUUAUAAGAAGUUAUUUUUUAUAUUGUUAAUAACUUUUAAAUAAAACAGUACAAAAUACAAAGCAGUUUUCUGUAUCUCAAAACCUCGAAAACGCAGUUAAUACUCUUGGCAAACGGUACUUCGACUUAAGAAGGUUAUUUGCAUUUUUUGUGUUUAAUAGUAAUGUUAUGUUGUUUUUAUCCAUGUUUUUUCAUAUAUUACAAUAUUGCGGAUUAUUAUUUUCACUUAGGGUGGUUUGCACCGUCUUGGAUUAAAAUCUCCGUUUAACUAGUCGGCGUUUAGCAAAUCUCGGAUUUAAAUUCAUAUCUCCUUUGCACGACGGCCGUUUAGUAAAUCGUCAAUUAAUCGUCGAUGCCAUUUGGCAACAUGGUAAAUUUAUUCGAUUUAACAUGUAUUGUGGCAGCAAUUGAAAGGACUGAAAGUGAGAAGUGAAAUGGCUUCACUCGAAUUACACAUUUUUUAGUUAAUAACUGCAAUAGUUUGGAUGUGUUUUGCAUGCUUUUUCUUUCCUUGAAUGGAGCAAGAACAAGUGCGACCUUCCAAUUUUGCCACGGAAGAAAAUUACUGAAAAGUCUGGUACACAGAAUAAUUGGAGCUCAAGAAGAAUACAACUUCAAUUGAACUUCAUCACCUGAUGGAGUUUUAUCAAAAGAAUACGACGAGUUGUCGGAAAUAAAAAUAACACAUCAAAAAAGAACCAUAAAUUG